GAUGAACGCUGACAGAAUGCUUAACACAUGCAAGUCUACUUGAUUCUACUUCGGUAGUUGAUGGUGGCGGACGGGUGAGUAACGCGUAAAGAAUCUGCCCUUUAGUUUGGGAUAACCUUUGGAAACGAAGGCUAAUACCGGAUAUUAUGGAGACGUCGCAUGGCGACUCCAUGAAAGCUAUAUGCGCUAGAGGAGGACUUUGCGUCCCAUUAGUUAGUUGGUGAGGUAAUGGCUCACCAAGACCGCGAUGGGUAGCCGGCCUGAGAGGGAGAUCGGCCACAAGGGAACGGAGACACGGUCCUGACUCCUACGGGAGGAAGCAGUGGGGAAUAUUGGACAAUGGGCCACAAGCCUGAUCCAGCAAUUCUGUGUGCACGAUGAAGGUCUUCGGAUUGUAAAGUGCUUUCAGUAGGGAAGAAAAAAAUGACGGUACCUACAGAAGAAGCGACGGCUAAAUAUGUGCCAGCAGCCGCCGUAAAAC
rnacentral:rRNA from 1 species